UUCACCGCUCAUUCAGCUGCCCUCCGUCAGCAAAUGUGAAAAAGUUUGGAACUAUGAUCUUUGCCUUUAAACAAUUUUAAUUUAAUCCAAUUAUUUAUCUUAUAAAUCCUUAAGUAAAACACUUCUAUAAUAAACUACCAGGCACCUUGUACAUCCAGUCCAAAUGGUUUUAAAUGAAACUGCUUUUGUUUUAGAACCAAAGCAGUAAUUGCUUAAUUGGCUUUGAUGCAGGUAGAAAAGAAAACUUUUAGGAUAGAUUGGCUUCUAAUUAACUAACACCGAAGGCUUCACUAUAACCUUAUUAAGGUAGUUAAGCAUAACAUAAAACACUGCACAGAUAAAAAGGUUAUUUUUUAAAAGUCUGAUGUUUGGUUUCAACACAGCAGUUACUAUCCAGCAGGACCUGUUUGGAUUUGAAACAUAUAUAGGAUAUAUACAAGAUAAUAAUAACAACAAUAAUAAUAUCAUUUAUUAUUACUCGUAUUGUUAUUAGUUGUAGUAGUAGCACUUAGUAUUAGGGUUAUAACAAGUAUUAUUAAUAUAAAUAGUACUUGAUUUGUAUCAUUGAUAGUACUUGGAGAGUGGUAGGAGUUGUAGUAUUGUCAUAGCCAGGAUUAAUGAUAACGAUAGUAAUAAUGAGAAGAAGAAUAAUCUUUCUCAUUAUUAUUAUUAGUAGUAGUAUUAAUAGUAAUAUUAGUAGUUGGAUUCAUAGUUGUAUUAGUUUCUGUUUUUCACAAAGGCCUGUAAUUUAGCUUUUCAUAUGACCAGGCACUUGAGACUGAAAUCACUUUUUGGCCAUGGUUUCAUGGUUUCAUUUUCCAGUUUACAAUGUUAUUUGUUAUCUUAUCACAAAUCUACGUCGAUCAUCUAUAUUAGGUUUUCUGAAGUUCUUCAAGUUUUAGCUAGAGAAGAUGUAUAAUUAACAAGGAAAACAGUGUAGCUGUGUGGAUAUAGAAAGUAUCCCCUUAAAGAAAUAUUCCUCCCACAAGCAGAGACAGAUAAUAAUUAAAUAAUGUCCUUGCUUAAACUAUUUUUAGCUGGAUUUUGAAAUGAAAAAAAAAGUGAGACUGGCAAAGAAAUAGUUCCAAGCAAAGUGCAAUAACGUUGUCCAUUUCAACCGUGUGUGUUUUAAGGUCUUCGAAGCAAUAUCAGGUUUUUGGCAGGAGCCGCUCCCUGAGCCUGCCCCAGCGACCUUCUCCUGGACUUCUGUCGCCUCUGAGUGCGCCUGGAGCCCAGCCGGCUUUUUCGCCCACGCAGAGGCAAACCUCCUUCUCCAGGAAACCCCCGACGCCAUGGGAGGCAGCGUCAAAGAGUCCAAUCGGCUCCGUGGACGAGGCCUUCGUCUUCCAGAGCCCCCUGUCGUCCGUCGCUUCUGAUGUUAUGGCUGCCGCACACCAAAGAUCUCUGCCCGAGCCUCCGGAAGAAUGGAAGCGCCGGGUGUCUCUCGACUCUGCCGCUGUCAGUAAGGGUCACCGCCAGCACCUGCCGGCCCCGUCUUUUCAGCCUCUGUCCGCGAGCGGGACGGCUUCACCCGAGAAACCGGCCUUCUACGGGCCUCCCUUCAGACCCGCUCAGCCUCUGAGGCCUGCCAGCCUCGGCUUCAAAGCGCAGAGCCCAUAUAAGUUCUUUCAUUUGUAUGGCGCCGCCCAGAGAAGUUAAUACCGCUGAGAAGAAGCAAGACCGGAGGGCACACAUAGGGUUUGCAAACAGAAAUGAAUGUUCUGUUUUAACAUUCACAGUUUUAAGCACGUAGGUUCCACAGGUUUUCAGGAGCAGAAGCAGUGAGUGACAGAACUUUCCCAAAUACGUCCCAAACGUUACCAUUUUUUAGACAGUUUAGAACAGGGGUGCCCUCAAGCCCCCCUCCAGUGAGCUGCAUUUAAAAUGCUAUUUUAUUCAGUUGCUCUUCCUUUUUAAUCAUAGUAGUAUUUACAUAGAUUUAAAAGCAUUAUAAAACAUCUUUAUAUUCCACAAUGUUAAGGUGAGCUUUGACUCUUUAGUUCAAAAGUCAGUACAGGCAGCCGUUCGUUUGACACAGCUCCGAUGAAGUAGCUCUCAGUUUCAAAGAGGUUGGUGGUCCCUGGUUUAGAACAUCUGCUUUGAGUGAAUAAUGGCAGACGUGGCUCUUGUGGUGGUGUUAGUGAUUGGCUGAGUUGAACAACGCCACGACUUCCAGCAAAAAGAGAAUUUAUUGUAGGAACAUUUGUCUUUCACAGCAAAGCAAUUACUAUGUCCCUGUAGCUUUAAACAGCAAGAUGUUUGUGCGCAUGUUCUUUUAAGGUUGAUCGUUUACUGAAUGUUAUUUUCUUUUUUAGCAGAGAUGGGUCUGAUUCAUUUAAAGCAUCAAGAAAGUAUUCAUAUAUAUCGUCAUGUAAAAAACAACAAACUUCUGUGUGGCAGACCAACACAAACUAAUGUCUAAUUAUGACGCAGAAGGAAAAAAAGAUGAGCGGUUUCUAAAGUUUUUCACCAUUAGAAGUCCUAAAAACGUGUCACAUACAUUUGUAUUAAGCCCUUCUCUGGUACUUUUCAGAACCAGCUUCUGCUGGGGUUACAGCUGCAAGUCUCUGCCAGCUAUCAGCUACAGAUUGAAAUUCAUGUCUAUUCUACUCGUGCAAAACAGCUCAAGCUCAGUCGGAUUGGAUGGAGGCUAUCUGCGUGUAUCAGUUUUUAAGUCAGAUUCAAAGCAUUGACUUUGACUAGGCCGUUUAAACAGAUGGAUCCCCAUUGAUCUGAAUAUUUCUAUUGUUGCUCUUGCUGUAUGUUUAAGAUCGUCCCCCUGCUAGGAGGUUGCCCUCUGCCCGCCUCUCAAGCCUUUUACCGACUCUAUUUAGACAAGUCUUCCUCCAGGAUUGUCCUGUAUUCAUUUCCGUCAAUGGUCCCGUCAACUCUGACCUGCCUCCCUGUCCCUGCUGAAGAAAAGCACUCCACACCAUGACAGUGCCCAUCCCAUGUUUUGCCGCGCAAUGUGGAGUUUUAGUUUUUCUCCACAUGUAGCAUUUUGCAUGGUGGCCAAAAUAUUCAAUUUUGAUUCUUCUCUGGAUUCUUUUCUGGAUCAGUGCAGCUCUACCGCAGUCCUUUAAAUGCCCUGUAACCUUUUCCUUCCACUUCACAACUAUGUGUUACUUUGUGCUCUUCGUAUGGCACAAUAUUGGAAUAAAAUUCAUUCAGGUUUGUGCUUUUAAUGAAAAUAAAUGUGGAAUAAGAGGUAUGGAUACAUCUGCAAGGUACUGUAAGUUUUACAGAAUGUAAUAGUGAAACAAAAUUAGCCCUGUCUGGACUGGUAUUGCUGAAAAAAGAAAAUAAGAGCCAUAUUUCAACCAUCUUAGUUUAAUUGACAACCAGCAGUGAGGAAUAAAUGGAUUUGGCCUUAAGAGACGAUGUCUGGCCAGCCAAUGAAUGCUAAAUGCCUUUUUGAAUUUAAUUCAGAGCUCUAUUUUAAAAUCAGAAUCAUCUUUAUUGGCUACGAUUGUGUAAACAGUCUAGGAAUUUGACCUUGGUUACAGCUUGGCUAAAUGUUUGCUUCACCAACGAGGAUUAAAUAUCUAACAAACUAAAAUCCAGCAUGGUGAUGGUGUGAGAGCAUAUUUCUGCUGAAGUCAAUCAAGCAUGUGCAUUGGUUUGUCUUUGUGGGUGUUGUGGGAUUUUACUAUUUGUGUUUUGAAGGUGAAUUUACCAAGAAGAAAAGGAAUAAGUAUGUAUGUACAUUAUGUAACUGUUGGAAAGUUGAGCAGCCGUGUUGGCUUGAAAUUAUAUAUAAUCACUUUGUCUCACAGACAUGUAUUUUUUUUACUCUAUAAUUAGCUUUUGUUUUGACUUAUAGAUUUCUUCACUUUCAUAGCAAUUUUCAUCGUCACCUUUUUUUUCAAAGCCUAAAUAAAUCAAGCUUUUUUUUAGCCUACUCUCGGUUCCAUUCUAGAGACAAUCCUGCAUUAUAUUUGAUGUAAUGAAGUAAUGUUUUUGAGCACAUUUGCUGUGGACCAUGUUGUGAUUUACUGAUGCCAUUUUAUUCCAGCUACUUGGCUGAUGUUGAUGAAUGUGUGAUAUCAGCGGUUGGAGUCAGACUGUGUAAAUAUGUCGGACUUCCCGAUUAAUGUGUUCGUAGCUCACCUGGUUCGCUGCCUCAAAACAUGUUUCCUCCCCACGGCUGCCACAUUCACAGACAGCAUUGUUUUGUCUCUAUGCUACAAGGUCUUUUUGCAGUUUUAAAGUAGAGCCAUAUUAUGUACACAAUGCUAUUCCAACUGGUAAACAACAAAAGUAAUUCGUACAUGAAUGUCUGUUUGUUUCAAUUGCUGGCUAGAUGGAUUGUACGGUACUUAGGUUAAAAGGCAUGGUAGAUCCUGACAUAAAUUUGUGGAUCAUGCUGUUCAUCAUGACCCAUACUGUGAGGUGUUUCACAAACCAAGUUGUGUUUUUGAGAGUCGUUGGCUUUGGCACCAUGCAGUUUUCUUGGUUACAUGUUUUUCCCACUUUUAAGAUCAUUAAAAUUUUUAAAAGUUCA